GUGAGGGCUGAUAAAUCUGGAAACCCAUUGGUGAAAACCUCACAGCUUGUUAAUCAGACUCUUUUCAGGUUUAACAAAACAACAGGAGGUAGAAGAAAUCAACAGUCAAGGACAAAAAAUGCUGAAGAAAAAAGGCAAAACCACCACAGAUCUUCAAGAAGGGAAAAUGAGUUGCGUGGAAGAUGGGCCCGUUUUGUUGCCAUGUGGCUCCCAGAGGAGAAAGGGAUGGAUUCCCGUCAUUCUGCAGAAAGGGUCCAUCCGUAUUGCUGCAGAUCCACCCACUGCUCUCGCAGCUUCAUCACUCUCCUCGCUGCGGGCUCCACGGUGGCUACAUUCUACCGCACAGUACUCACACUCAUCAGUCAAGGCCUUUCCACCCUCUGCAAGAUUCGGCCUUUGCUGCUUUCAGCAAUAGGGAGUGAGCUGGGUUAACCUUCCCCCAAGUAUGCUUCAUUGAACAUUAAAUCUAGAGAGUGCGCUCUGCAUCUGGGGACACCGAGUGCACUGCACCCAGCCCAGUUUCUUUCAAAAUGUCUACCAUUCUUGAAAUUCUGCCCAAGCUCACCUUAUAGGGUGAUCACUUCACACCUCCAAGUGCACAUGAGUUAGUCAAAGCAUACACCAACUUUCAUGCUGAGUGGGAUGCUCUGAACAUUGAGACAACCAUCAAGACCAAAGGUGUGGAUGAGGUCACCAUUGUCAACAUCCUGACCAACCGCAGCAAUGAACAGAGCCAGGAUAUCACCUUCGCCUACCAGUGAAGGACCAAGAAGGAACUUGCAUCAGCACUGAAGUCAGCCUUGUCUCUGCCACCUGGAGGCGGUGAUUUUGGGCCUAUUGAAAAUACCUGCUCUGUAUGCUGCUCCUGAGCUGAAUGCAUCCAUGAAGGGACUGGGGGUUGAUGAGGACUCUCUCAUUGAGAUCAUCUGCUUAAGGACCAACCAGGAGCUGCAGGAAAUCAACAGAGUCUACAUGGAAGUGUACAAGACCGGUCUGGAGAGGGACAUUGUUUCUAACACAUCUGGCGACUUCCACAAGCUGAUGGUUGCCCUCACAAAGGGUGGAAGAGCAGAGAAUGGCUCUGUUGUUGAUUAUGAACUGACUGACCAGGACUCCCGCUAUCUCUAUGAUGCUGGUGUGAAGAGGAAAGAAACUAAUGUUCCCUAGUGUAUCAGCAUCAUGAUUGAGUGGAGCGGGUGUCACUUCCUGAAAGUAUUUGAAAGGUAGCAGAGCUACAGCCCUGAUGACAUGCUGGAGAGCAUCAAGAAGGAGGUCAAAGGUGACCUGGAAAAUGUUUUCCUGAACCUGGUCCAGUGCACUCAGAACAAGCCCCUGUAUUUUGCUGACAGACUGUACGUCUCCAUGAAUGGCUAGGGCACUCGUGGUAAAGUCCUGAUUAGAAUCCCCCAUAGUGGCAUGGACAUGUUGAAAAUAAGAUCUGAUUUCAAGUAAAGUUCGGCAAGUCCCUGUACUACUACAUUCAGCAAGACACCAAGAGCGACUACUAGAAAGCGCUGCUGAACCUGCGUGGUGGGGGUGACUGAACCCCACAACAGCCUGAGCAUCCAGGGUGGCUGCUCCGUGCUCCAGCUAACAGUUCCACACAGUCGGCUUGGGCUAACAGCCCCUGUGCCCAUCCUUGGGAGGGUGACGUUAGUGCUGCCUGCCCCACCCACUCUUUUGUUAGUUUAGUUGCCUCCACAUCACCUGACUUUCCCAUCUAGUCCCUCUUUAUAGCCAAAGAAAUGAACAUGCCAAGGAUUUGGAAGUGAAAUCUAUGAUGUGAACACUGUGUCUCUUGAGUACUGUGUCAUAAACAGAUGAAUAAACUGAAUUUUUUUUUAAUUUAUUUAUUUUUU
rnacentral:lncRNA from 1 species